GAAAAUUAUGAGUUGAAGUUCUAUUUCUGUUGAAUUUCAUAAUACAUAAUAGGGACAAUGCCCAGUAUUGAAAGAGAAAUAUGUUUAAGAAUUAAGAAGUGAAUGAGAAGAGCUUUAUGUAGCAUAUCUAAAGAGCAACAGAUAUUAAGUCCAAGAAAACCACCAAAUACCCAUCAACAUGGUCCUCGACUGUUACAAAUUGGAGAACUUCAUGUACCGAAGAUGUCUUUUUUACCGAGGACCUGAUAAGAUUGAUCCCACAAGGGGCAGGCUAGCAGGUAUAUCUUGAUUGGUGUCUUCUGGGAGAAUUGCUAAGAAGCUGUAGUCAGUAAUCCGCUCCAUUGGCGUUAAACCUUCAAUAAAUUUCACAACAGUAGAAAUGGAAGGCCUUCUACGGUAAGGCUGUAGGCAGUGUAUAGCAAUCUCCAACAUUUUAACAGCUUCAUCCAUAUUUGCUUGGAUAUCUGGUUGCUUGUCAACUAAGUCAGAUAGUUGACCUUCUUCCACUUUGCUCUUCACUACAUCAACGAGUACUUGAUCAUCAUUUUGGCUUGAAUUCUUGCGUCCACAAACAAUCUCCAGGAUUACUAUGCCAAAGCUGUAAACAUCAACCUUGGAUGUAAUAUUGUUUCCAGUCAACAACUCAGGAGCGAUAUAACCUGGAGUUCCUUUGAGUGUCCACACACGACUUUGUUCUCCUUCUAUCAAUUUUGCUAAACCAAAAUCAGAAAUCUUGGCCAUGAAAUUUUCAUCCAAGAGAAUAUUUUGGGGUUUGAUAUCAAAGUGAAUAAUUUGUGGAUUGCAAAACGAAUGGAGAUACAAGAGUCCUUUUGCAAUGGAUAAAACAAUGUUCUUUCUAAUUUCCCACCCAAGAGGCUGUCCUCCAUUUCUGUGGAAAAUCCAUUUAUCCAAUGAUCCAUUGCACACGUACUCGUAAACUAGAAGUCUCUUCGAUCUUGUGAUGCAAUACCCAAUGAGCUUCACCAGACAAACAUGGUGAAUUCGGCCCAAGGUCUGCACCUCUGCCUCGAAAUCUCUUCGUCCUUCUCGGAAACCAGAAAGACAUUUUACUGCUACUGUUUUGCCAUUUAAGGUACCCUUAAAUACCUCUCCAAAUGCUCCCCGACCAAUCUUUGAUCUAGGAUCAAAAUUGUUCGUAGCUGAUUUAAGGUCUCUAUAAGAGAAACUUGUCAGCACAUCUUCUACUCGAUUCAUAGAUUCAUUUCCUUCUGCUUCCUGUCCUGCAGAUUCUCUUCUAUCCUUUUGUUUUGCAUUCUUUUUCUUUCUUUUUACGUACCAAAUAGCUCCAUAAACACAAACAAUAACGAAUGACAAGGAAGCAGGAAUAGGGAUUGCUAGUUUUUUAACUGAAGAUGGUCCCCUUUUCUUUGCUGAUUCCUGCCGUGUAAAAGAAUCAUUGCUAAAGAGAUCGGAUACCACACCGUUUUUGUACCCAUCAAUCAGUUGAUAAACCCGCAGAUGCCCAUCUGGAUCAAGCCUCAUAUACUGGAAGUCUCUACCUUUCGGUUCGUACUUUACAUAAUUUGGCAAUUGAUUCAAGGACCCAAUGCCAAAGUUAAAUGUGGUAAAGUCACCAUUAUAUGAAAAUAGUCUCUGAUAAAAGGUUUGAGGAUUUGAUUCAUUGAAAGCAUAAACACCAUCAUCAGCGACAGAGAGAUAGAACAAGCCUGUAGAGAAAUUGGAUGGAGAAACACUAGAUGUUAACAUCUGGCCAUAAUGCAGCAGCUGGUUAGGAGCCCAUGUGUCAGUUGGAUAAUCGAAAGACUCCCAUUGCACACCAUUGCUGCCAUUGACAAGUCUCAAAUUUCCUCCAAACAAUAGAAACAUUCGCGUAACAGAGGCAUCAGAGGUGUUGGUCGACCAAACAAGCGUACCAUCUGUGUCUCUCAACUCCAAGUUUCCGUUGGCUUUAAAUUCAAGACUAGAAUUCUCUCCCACUGGGUGUUCUCGAUUAGCACACCAAAGAACUGCUGGUGGAUAAUUUGAAAAAUUGAAGGAUGAAUUUGUGGAGAGUGGAUGUUUAAGUAUGGAAAGAUAAAAGGAAUCACUAGUUGCAUCCUUGAAGAAACCAAAGGUGAAAUUUAGCUGGCGAUAAGAGUAAAUUGCUAGGAUAGGCCUAAGAGUAGAACCAUCAGAAAAUGUGAAGGUUCCCAUAGCGGUGGAAGAGACGUUGUUUUUCCAAGAGGUUGAGACGCUGGCAACUGAUGUAUCCUGUUGUUGACAACAGGAGUACUCAAGAAUGGAAAGGUUGAGAAUGAAAACAAGAAACUGAACGACUAAUCUUGCCAUGGCUGUACCUUCCUGCUAAUCUUGUGAUCAUGAUUCUAUUUAUAUACCGCAAUCAUGUCCUGCUACCCAAAAAGUAUAAUCGGCCGGCCACAUACAAGACUUGAGAAAAU
rnacentral:misc_RNA from 1 species